rnacentral:rRNA from 1 species
AUAGCUUGCUAUCAGGCGUCGAGCGGCGGACGGGUGAGUAAUACUUAGGAAUCUACCUAGUAGUGGGGGAUAGCACGGGGAAACUCGUAUUAAUACCGCAUACGACCUACGGGAGAAAGGGGGCAGUUUACUGCUCUCGCUAUUAGAUGAGCCUAAGUCGGAUUAGCUAGAUGGUGGGGUAAAGGCCUACCAUGGCGACGAUCUGUAGCUGGUCUGAGAGGAUGAUCAGCCACACCGGGACUGAGACACGGCCCGGACUCCUACGGGAGGCAGCAGUGGGGAAUAUUGGACAAUGGGGGAAACCCUGAUCCAGCCAUGCCGCGUGUGUGAAGAAGGCCUUUUGGUUGUAAAGCACUUUAAGCAGUGAAGAAGACUCCGUGGUUAAUACCCACGGACGAUGACAUUAGCUGCAGAAUAAGCACCGGCUAACUCUGUGCCAGCAGCCGCGGUAAUACAGAGGGUGCAAGCGUUAAUCGGAAUUACUGGGCGUAAAGGGAGCGUAGGUGGCUCGAUAAGUCAGAUGUGAAAUCCCCGGGCUCAACCUGGGAACUGCAUCUGAUACUGUUGAGCUAGAGUAUGUGAGAGGAAGGUAGAAUUCCAGGUGUAGCGGUGAAAUGCGUAGAGAUCUGGAGGAAUACCGAUGGCGAAGGCAGCCUUCUGGCAUAAUACUGACACUGAGGCUCGAAAGCGUGGGUAGCAAACAGGAUUAGAUACCCUGGUAGUCCACGCCGUAAACGAUGUCUACUAGUCGUUGGGUCCCUUGAGGACUUAGUGACGCAGCUAACGCAAUAAGUAGACCGCCUGGGGAGUACGGCCGCAAGGUUAAAACUCAAAUGAAUUGACGGGGGCCCGCACAAGCGGUGGAGCAUGUGGUUUAAUUCGAUGCAACGCGAAGAACCUUACCUGGUCUUGACAUAUCUAGAAUCCUGCAGAGAUGCGGGAGUGCCUUCGGGAAUUAGAAUACAGGUGCUGCAUG